UACAGAGGGUGCUAGCGUUGUUCGGAAUCAUUGGGCGUAAAGGGCGUGUAGGCGGUUUGCUAAGUCAUGUGUGAAAUCCCUCGGCUUAACCGGGGAACGACGCAUGAAACUGGCAAGCUAGAGUACCAAAGAGGGGGGUGGAAUUCCCGGGUGUAGCGGUGAAAUGCGUAGAUAUCGGGGAGGAACACCUGUGGCGAAGGCAGCCCCCCUGGGAUAACACUGACGCUCAUGCACGAAAGCGUGGGGAGCAAACAGG
rnacentral:rRNA from 1 species